UUAUUUAUUAUAUUUUAAUGAGAAUCUUCUUUUCUUUUUUGGUUCUAUUGGGAAGAGGUCAAAUCAACUGAGUAGGGUAUAAAGCAACAAGUUAAGCAUUUUCAGCCACUUAUUAGGAAGAAUUAUAUACGAAUUCAUAAAAGUUAGGUAACAAUGAGCCAACAAAGUCGUAUAAGUCACGUGUGAAUUCCUAAUUUGCUAUAUUCAUUCAAACAAAGUGGGGACACAGUCUUUUUAUUUUCUUGUUAUGGAAAGAUUAAGGGCCUAGCUAGCUAGCUAGGUUAAAUUAUUGAAACUUGAUGCUUAACGACACUGAAUUCUGGUUGCGAG
rnacentral:lncRNA from 1 species